UGGGGAAUAUUGGACAAUGGGCGAAAGCCUGAUCCAGCCAUGCCGCGUGUGUGAAGAAGGUCUUCGGAUUGUAAAGCACUUUAAGUUGGGAGGAAGGGCAGUAAGCGAAUACCUUGCUGUUUUGACGUUACCGACAGAAUAAGCACCGGCUAACUCUGUGCCAGCAGCCGCGGUAAUACAGAGGGUGCAAGCGUUAAUCGGAAUUACUGGGCGUAAAGCGCGCGUAGGUGGUUCGUUAAGUUGAAUGUGAAAGCCCCGGGCUCAACCUGGGAACGGCAUCCAAAACUGGCGAGCUAGAGUAGGGGAGAGGGUGGUGGAAUUACCUGUGUAGCGGUGAAAUGCGUAGAUAUAGGAAGGAACACCAGUGGCGAAGGCGACCACCUGGGCUGAUACUGACACUGAGGUGCGAAAGCGUGGGGAGGAAACAGG
rnacentral:rRNA from 1 species